CCUACGGGUGGCUGCAGUGGGGAAUAUUGGACAAUGGGGGGAACCCUGAUCCAGCCAUGCCGCGUGUGUGAAGAAGGCCCUCGGGUUGUAAAGCACUUUCAGUGAGGAAGAACGCCUGGUGGUUAAUACCCAUCAGGAAAGACAUCACUCACAGAAGAAGCACCGGCUAACUCCGUGCCAGCAGCCGCGGUAAUACGGAGGGUGCGAGCGUUAAUCGGAAUUACUGGGCGUAAAGCGCGCGUAGGUGGCUUGAUAAGCCGGUUGUGAAAGCCCCGGGCUCAACCUGGGAACGGCAUCCGGAACUGUCAAGCUAGAGUGCAGGAGAGGAAGGUAGAAUUCCCGGUGUAGUGGUGAAAUGCGUAGAGAUCGGGAGGAAUACCAGUGGCGAAGGCGGCCUUCUGGACUGACACUGACACUGAGGUGCGAAAGCGUGGGUAGCAAACAGGAUUAGAUACCCCUGUAGUC
rnacentral:rRNA from 1 species